rnacentral:rRNA from 1 species
AACGAACGCUGGCGGCAUGCCUAACACAUGCAAGUCGAACGAGACCUUCGGGUCUAGUGGCGCACGGGUGCGUAACGCGUGGGAACCUGCCCUUAGGUUCGGAAUAACUCCCCGAAAGGGGUGCUAAUACCGGAUAAUUUCUUCUGACCAAAGAUUUAUCGCCCUUGGAUGGGCCCGCGUUGGAUUAGCUAGUUGGUAGGGUAAAAGCCUACCAAGGCGACGAUCCAUAGCUGGUCUGAGAGGAUGAUCAGCCACACUGGGACUGAGACACGGCCCAGACUACUACGGGAGGCAGCAGUGCGGAAUAUUGGAAAAUGGGCGGAAGCAUGAUCCAGCAAUGCCGCGUGAGUGAUGAAGGCCUUAGGGUUGUACAGCUCUUUUACACGGGAUGAUAAUGACAGUACCGGGAGAAUAAGCUCCGGCUAACUCCGUG